GGGGUUGACCGGAUUUGACAGCGGGCAGAAACGGUAAGUAAGCAUGCAGUGCAUCGAUGAUUGGCACUUUAAUCUCAGUUAUCAGAAAUUUAUCUGGCAAAACUAAUUAUGCUCUUGCUGCGUGAUCGAAGCAUAGUAGAUCAGCUUAAUUCUUGUACAAGGUAUGGGGACGAGACAUCACUCGGAUACUGUGGUUCCGAAGUGUUCCGGUUCAGUGGUGCAGUUAUAUCGGAGAUAGUCUGAAAUGGCUUCGCAUUUUAGAUGAAAGUUUAGAAGAUUAAGGUAUGAGUGGAUGGCUUUGGUUCUGCUCAUGCAAGAAAAAUUAAGCAAAGAUAAGCAUGUAGAAAGCUUAUGAUUUCCUUGUUUGGACGAGGGUUCGACUCCCUCCAACUCCAC
rnacentral:tmRNA from 1 species